rnacentral:rRNA from 1 species
GAUUAUGGCCAAGCCACCCUGAACAAGCCCGAUGUCUGAUCUCGGAAGCUAAGCAGGGUCUGGCCUGGUUAGAACUUGGAUGGGAGACCUCCAGGAAGACCAGGUGCUGUAGGCA